rnacentral:rRNA from 1 species
UAGGGAAUCUUCGGCAAUGGGGGGAACCCUGACCGAGCAACGCCGCGUGAGUGAAGAAGGUUUUCGGAUCGUAAAGCUCUUUUGCUAAGGAAGAACGAGUGUGAGAAUGGAAAGUUCAUACUGUGACGGUACUUAACCAGCAAGGGACGGCUAACUACGUGCCAGCAGCCGCGGUAAUACGUAGGUCCCGAGCGGUGUCCGGAUUUAUUGGGCGUAAAGCGCGCGCAGGCGGUUAGAUAAGUCUGAAGUUAAAGGCAGUGGCUCAACCAUUGUAGGCUUUGGGAACUGUUUAACUUGAGUGCAGAAGGGGAGAGUGGAAUUCCAUGGGUAGCGGUGAAAUGCGUAGGUAUAUGGGGGAACACCAGUGGCGAAGGCGACUCUCUGGUCUGUAACUGACGCUGAGGCUCGAAAGCGUGGGUAGCAAACAGG